AUACGUAGGGGGCGAGCGUUGUCCGGAAUUACUGGGCGUGAAGGGUGCGUAGGUGGCACUUUAAGUUGGAUGUGAAAUCCCCGUGCUUAACAUGGGAGCUGCAUCCAAUACUGGAGAGCUAGAGUGCAGGAGAGGUAAGCGGAAUUCCUAGUGUAGCGGUGAAAUGCGUAGAUAUUAGGAGGAACACCAGUGGCGAAGGCGGCUUACUGGACUGUAACUGACACUGAGGCACGAAAGCGUGGGGAGCAAACAGGAUUAGAUACCCUGGUAGUCCACGCUGUAAACGAUGAAUACUAGGUGUAGGGGGUAUCAACUCCCUCUGUGCCGCAGCAAACGCAAUAAGUAUUCCGCCUGGGGGGUACGGCCGCAAGGUUGAAACUAAAAGGAAUUGGCGGGG
rnacentral:rRNA from 1 species